UCAUCCUACGGGACGCAGCAGUGGGGAAUAUUGCACAAUGGGGGAAACCCUGAUGCAGCGACGCCGCGUGAGUGAAGAAGUAUUUCGGUAUGUAAAGCUCUAUCAGCAGGGAAGAAAAUGACGGUACCUGACUAAGAAGCCCCGGCUAACUACGUGCCAGCAGCCGCGGUAAUACGUAGGGGGCAAGCGUUAUCCGGAUUUACUGGGUGUAAAGGGAGCGUAGACGGAAUUGCAAGUCUGAUGUGAAAAUC
rnacentral:rRNA from 1 species